AGCAGCCGCGGUAAUUCCAGCUCCAAUAGCGUAUAUUAAAGUUGUUGCAGUUAAAAAGCUCGUAGUUGAAUUUCGGGAUCAAAUUGUCGGUCGUGCCUCGGUACGUACUGGCGUUAUUGGUUCCUCCCUUCUGAAGAACCGCGAUGUCAUUAAUUUGGUGUCGCGGGGAAUCAGGACUGUUACUUUGAAAAAAUUAGAGUGUUUAAAGCAGGCUCGCGCUUGAAUACAUUAGCAUGGAAUAAUGAAAUAGGACGUUUGAUUCUAUUUUGUUGGUUUCUAGGAUCGACGUAAUGAUUAAUAGGGAUAGUUGGGGGCAUUAGUAUUCAAUUGUCAGAGGUGAAAUUCUUGGAUUUAUUGAAGACUAACUACUGCGAAAGCAUUUGCCAAGGAUGUUUUCAUUAAUCAAGAACGAAAGUUAGGGGAUCGAAGACGAUCAGAUACCGUCGUAGUCUUAACCAUAAACUAUGCCGACUAGGGAUCGGAUGAUGUUAAUUUUUUUAAUGACUCAUUCGGCGCCUUA
rnacentral:rRNA from 1 species